CACCCCCAGGGACGGUGAUGCCACCACCUCCCUGGGCAACCCAUUCCACUGCUCCUGAGAAGAAUGCCAGUGUGCUCCACCUGCGAACCUGCAUCUCAGAGAGAAAUGAAACAUCCCGGCUGUAUGCUGCUCUCUCUGAGGUUCUUGAAGACCAGACUGCUGUCCUGGACAAGAUGUUUCUGGUGGAGGUAGGAAGAUGCAAGCUCUGCCAGUUUACAAGCAGCAUCAAAAGUAAGAUCGAGACGUGCCUGGCUCAUGUACGUGAAAAAGAUGCAGUAUGUCACACUUCAGUCUGUCCUAAAAUGGACCAAGGUGCAAAUGAGUUGUACAGCAUAGGAGAUGAAGUUCAUCAAGCAAAUAAAGAAAACAAAGAAAAUCUUGUAAAAUUGUCCAUCUAUUACCCAUCUGUCAGAUGCGUCAAAAUACAAACCCUCACUGAUGUGACAUGAGCCCAGGGAGUCCAAGCAAUAACUCUCAUGCUUCUCACUCAUGAAAUGAUGAACACCUUUGUCUGGAGAAGAAACAGGCCAUUUUCAGCCUGAGGAGCCCUGGCCUGCAGUGCCUGGUUCUCUUUCAUAUACCCUGGACUUCAGCAAAUCCAGAAAGAGGAAAGGUAAAGAAGAAGCACAGUCUAUUACAACUUUUGGCCAGUGCUGUGUUUCCAGUGUUAGAACACUGACUGUACUUAAGGAGGUAAAAAAACAAACCUGAAGCUAAAUCGGGGCCUGAAAAUUGCAAAAAUCAGAAGAAAGCUAGUCAUGAUAAUAACAUGGUAAGAUCUUCCUAUGAAAGAAGUUUGCACCUUAAAUCUGAAUUCUGAGACAACACAGGAUUUCUGCAACACGUACAGUGUAGUAUUGAAGUCAAAAGAUGCUCGUAAAAUCCAGGAAAGGCAUCAUGAUGUGGAUUGUAGUCACUUGACAGAGUGGGUCUUAGCAGAAAAUACUAAAAUUGUACAAGCACAUAAAAGUAACCUACUAGUGCUUCAUCUGUGAAAGUGUUUUUAAUAUCACAAAGUACCUGGAAAGCGCACAAAACACCACCAGAGGAAACCUCAUCUCUUUCAGUGCAAAAAGUGUUCAUCAUCGUCAUCUGAGAACAAGCAGAUGUCUUCAUGUAGCUUGCUGUUAGUAGUCUACGUUCAAUGUAUCCAAUGUGAUUUUACCAGUCCUAUGACAUCUAGACCCUCUAGGGUUGCCAGGUUUACUUCUAUCAGGACAUCCUAUCAUAGGCACUGCGUUGGUUGAUGCUGUAUUGAUCACCAAACCCCACUGGAGCACGGAGCUGGGAUACAUUGCAUGGAGGGUGAGAGCAGAGUUGAAAGAGCAUGUGAAAAACCACAAAACUUCUCCAGCCCUUUUGUGUUCAAUUUGUGGUCAAGUAUUCAAAACCAGACAUCAGAUGAAUGGACAUUGCAAACAAAUCCAUUAGAAAACACAAAUUAAAGAGAGGAAGAGAUGAAGGCUGAAGAUAAUCCUGCGUGGUCCAACACAAAACAACUGGAAAGAAGAAUUCAAGUGAAUUUGCAUGCAGUACCUGCAGUAGGCCAGAAGCCUUUCAAAUAUGAAGCCUGCCCUUACAACUCCAUCAAUGGAAGUGGCCAUGUGGCAGCAUUUACGAACACACACUAGUGAGAUGCCUUGCGAACGUCGACUCUGUUUGUAAAGUUGCUCUUUCUAUACGUAACUACUACAUAGACUGUUCUGGAAGAUGUGUGAAAUGGUAAUGUGACAAAUACAAAAGUACCUGAUAGAAGAAGGUAACAGUAUCUGUGUGUAUUCAUUCAGUGACCAGUGUCUUAAUUUACUGUGCUAGGAUUCAGAAGAUAAGGUUGGACCUUCUCAUGUACACCGACAUCGCACUGGUGAGGCAUUUGGCUCUAGUUUUUGCUGCUAUUCUUCCCCUGACAACCAACUUCUCUGAAAACAUAUUAACACCAGCUGGGUGCAGGAACCUCAUUAACCAGUUCCCAGCCCACCUUUGCUCUCAAAUCACUUCUUAUGGAAUAUUAGGUUCUUCGUGCUUAAGCUUCCACCACAGCAUCCCAGCAAAUAAAGAAGCUGUUGGCAUUGUCAGACUUUUGUGCUGAAAGCCAGGGGUGAUUUGGAAGAAGAGAAGAAACAGUCCUCUUGUGGCAAUUAGAAGCAUGGGUUAACAUAUUCAAAUAAGAUGCUUAAGAUGGUCAUCCCCAGAACAUGUGUGCAUGUUAUGGUACAGGUUGUAACUCUAAAUUGCUGAAAGUAGCAUGGAGAUUUGUGUUCUGUAAAGGUGAAUAUCUUGGUUUUUCAUUCUGGUUACAUCUUCCUGAUAUAUUCUGCUUAAUUACAAAUGAAGAGUUUGACAUUUGAAGGCAGAAUCUGUUGAAAUGUGCCUGAACUGACAUUGAACCCUACAGGUUGUUUCUGUGCUACAUCUCUCAUUUUUAAUAUUGGUCUCUAUAUAAAACAUCAAAGAAUUCAAGAAAAUCUGUUGACACAGUAAUACUCGUAAGUCACUAAAUUGUUUCCUGGAUUUUUUUUUUAACAAAAUAUGUCUCUUAUGAACUAGUCCAAGUUAAAGUAAAAAUAUAAACUAUUGAAAUACGACAUCAAAUAAACCUGACUUGAAAAUUCA